rnacentral:rRNA from 1 species
AAAUUGAAGAGUUUGAUCAUGGCUCAGAUUGAACGCUGGCGGCAGGCCUAACACAUGCAAGUCGAGCGGUAGCACAGAGAGCUUGCUCUCGGGUGACGAGCGGCGGACGGGUGAGUAAUGUCUGGGAAACUGCCUGAUGGAGGGGGAUAACUACUGGAAACGGUAGCUAAUACCGCAUAACGUCGCAAGACCAAAGUGGGGGACCUUCGGGCCUCAUGCCAUCAGAUGUGCCCAGAUGGGAUUAGCUAGUAGGUGGGGUAACGGCUCACCUAGGCGACGAUCCCUAGCUGGUCUGAGAGGAUGACCAGCCACACUGGAACUGAGACACGGUCCAGACUCCUACGGGAGGCAGCAGUGGGGAAUAUUGCACAAUGGGCGCAAGCCUGAUGCAGCCAUGCCGCGUGUGUGAAGAAGGCCUUCGGGUUGUAAAGCACUUUCAGCGGGGAGGAAGGCGAUAAGGUUAAUAACCUUGUCGAUUGACGUUACCCGCAGAAGAAGCACCGGCUAACUCCGUGCCAGCAGCCGCGGUAAUACGGAGGGUGCAAGCGUUAAUCGGAAUUACUGGGCGUAAAGCGCACGCAGGCGGUCUGUCAAGUCGGAUGUGAAAUCCCCGGGCUCAACCUGGAAACUGCAUUCGAAACUGGCAGGCUAGAGUCUUGUAGAGGGGGGGUAGAAUUCCGGGUGUAGCGGUGAAAUGCGUAGAGAUCUGGAGGAAUACCGGUGGCGAAGGCGGCCCCCUGGACAAAGACUGACGCUCAGGUGCGAAAGCGUGGGAGCAAACAGGAUUAGAUACCCUGGUAGUCCACGCCGUAAACGAUGUCGAUUUGGAGGUUGUGCCCUUGAGGCGUGGCUUCCGGAGCUAACGCGUUAAAUCGACCGCCUGGGGAGUACGGCCGCAAGGUUAAAACUCAAAUGAAUUGACGGGGGCCCGCACAAGCGGUGGAGCAUGUGGUUUAAUUCGAUGCAACGCGAAGAACCUUACCUGGUCUUGACAUCCACAGAACUUUCCAGAGAUGGAUUGGUGCCUUCGGGAACUGUGAGACAGGUGCUGCAUGGCUGUCGUCAGCUCGUGUUGUGAAAUGUUGGGUUAAGUCCCGCAACGAGCGCAACCCUUAUCCUUUGUUGCCAGCGGUCCGGCCGGGAACUCAAAGGAGACUGCCAGUGAUAAACUGGAGGAAGGUGGGGAUGACGUCAAGUCAUCAUGGCCCCACGACCGGGGCUACACACGUGCUACAAUGGCAUAUACAAAGAGAAGCGACCUCGCGAGAGCAAGCGGACCUCAUAAAGUAUGUCGUAGUCCGGAUUGGAGUCUGCAACUCGACUCCAUGAAGUCGGAAUCGCUAGUAAUCGUAGAUCAGAAUGCUACGGUGAAUACGUUCCCGGGCCUUGUACACACCGCCCGUCACACCAUGGGAGUGGGUUGCAAAAGAAGUAGGUAGCUUAACCUUCGGGAGGGCGCUUACCACUUUGUGAUUCAUGACUGGGGUGAAGUCGUAACAAGGUAACCGUAGGGGAACCUGCGGUUGGAUCACCUCCUUACCUUAAAGAA